ACAUGUGUUUAACUUACGUUUUUUAGGAAUACUCGUACAAAGAAUUAUUAAAUGCAUAUUUUCCAGAAACAAUAGAAAGAGAAAAACAAAAGAAGAAAGAAAAAGAAAAAGAAGCAAAGAUCAGAAAUAAGAAAGAACAAGAAAAAGGAAAGACGUUAGAUGACAACGACUUUAUAAAAAAUAAUGAGAAGACGCUUGAUAAAAAGUUAAUGGAAAAUGGUAUAAAAAAUUUUGAACAUAUUAAUAAAAUAACAGAUUAUAAAAAAAAAAAUAAAAUAUUAGAUAUAACUUAUAAUGUUAUUGAAGAUACAUUAAAAGAUGUAUAUGAAAACAAAACUAUGGAAAAAAAUGAAAAAGAGAAUGAAAAAAAAAAUUAUUUAGAAAUAGCAAAAAAAGAAAAAGAUUUAUUAUAUAGCAAAUUAAUAAAUAAUAAUUCAAUAGUAAAUAAUAGUAGUACAUUCGAUUUAUUUGGUGUUUUUUAUGAUAAUAAAAAUUAUAAAGAUGAAAAAAAAAUAAUAUCCGAAAUUAAUAAAAUGUUAAACUUAGAACCUUUUAAAAGUACUAAUAAAGUCAAUAUACUUGAACACAUUGACAGUCUUUUAAAUUUAAAGACUGAUAAAUUACCAAUACAUAUUCGUAACUUUCUUAUAAAAUAUAGAAGUAUAGCAAAAAAAAUUUAUUCUAUGAAAAAAAAAAAAAAAAAUUAUGAAGAAGGGGAAGGAGAGGAAGAAAGAGAAAAAUUAAAAAACGAUGAUAAAAUUAACACAAAUGAAAAUUAUCCCAACGAAUGUGACAAAAUAAGAAAAAAAAAAAACGAAUAUGAUGGUAAUGAUUUUGUGAAAAAAAACAAUGAAACAAAAAAGUAUAACGGAAAUAGUACAUAUCGAACUGGGUGUAAGUCGGAAACAUAUUAUGAAUGGGGGAACAGUGAAAUGGGCAUGGGCAAAUCCGAAAGUACUAGUAAAGAUAAUGUAGAAAGUACUAACGAAAACAAUUACGACGAUGAUAAAACUAAGUACCCCGAUUUUUAUAAAGACGUUAACAAAGUGCUUAUGAGUUUUGAUGAGAAAUUUAAUAAUAAGGAAUUAAUAAAAAAAGACCAAUUUUUGAUCGACGAAUUAUAUGAAGAAUAUGAAAAACAUAUUCAAAAUGUGAAUAAUAAAAAAAAUAAAUUAGAACCACAAAAUAAUAAUUAUGACUUUUUAACAUAUGUUCAUGAACACAUUGAGGAAUUUCUUUUUUAUAAGUAUGGAAAUUUUAAUUACGAUUUUCAUAGACAAGUGCAAAAGGUGCAAAAUGAAAUAGAAAAUAAAAACGAUGAUAAAAAACAUAAAAAUUGUAAUGAUGGAAGGAUGCUAGGACUUGUUCAAGGGGAGGGAUAUGAUAGUAAUGGCAGCCAUGAUGGUAAUGGUAGCCAUGAUGGUAAUGGCAGCCGUGAUGGUAAUGGCAGCCGUGAUGGUAAUGGCAGCCGUGAUGGUAAUGACAGCCAUGAUGGUAAUGGUAGCCAUGAUGGUAAUGGUAGCCAUGAUGGUAAUGGUAGCCGUGAUGGUAAUGGCAGCCGUGAUGGUAAUGGCAGCCGUGAUGGUAAUGGCAACCCAAACGGUCAAUCCAAUAUCCCACUCAUAGAUAAUAAAAAAAGAAAGGAAAGCAUUUUAAACAAAAUAAAAGUUAGCAAGAAGUUGAAAAAUGUCGUCCUUUCAGAUAUAAUAGAAAACUAUAAUAAAAGAAUGUAUGACAUUUAUAAACCUACCGAUUUAAUAACGAAUGAGUAUGGUUUUAAUAAUUAUAUAAGUAAUGAACAAUAUGAUAAAGAAAUUAAUGUAUCGUUAAACAAAUAUAGUAUAUUAAAUUAUGACAGUAAAGAGGAAUUUAAUAAUGACGAAAGCUUAUACGUAGGUA
ensembl:lncRNA